AUUGAACGCUGGCGGCAUGCCUUACACAUGCAAGUCGAACGGCAGCAUGGGUGCUUGCACCUGAUGGCGAGUGGCGAACGGGUGAGUAAUGCAUCGGAACGUACCCGGAAGUGGGGGAUAACGUAGCGAAAGUUACGCUAAUACCGCAUAUUCUGUGAGCAGGAAAGCGGGGGAUCGCAAGACCUCGCGCUUCCGGAGCGGCCGAUGUCGGAUUAGCUAGUUGGCGGGGUAAAGGCCCACCAAGGCAAUGAUCCGUAGCGGGUCUGAGAGGAUGAUCCGCCACACUGGGACUGAGACACGGCCCAGACUCCUACGGGAGGCAGCAGUGGGGAAUUUUGGACAAUGGGGGCAACCCUGAUCCAGCCAUGCCGCGUGAGUGAAGAAGGCCUUCGGGUUGUAAAGCUCUUUCGGCCGGGAAGAAAUCGCACGGGUUAAUACCUUGUGUGGAUGACGGUACCGGAAUAAGAAGCACCGGCUAACUACGUGCCAGCCGCCGCAGUAAAAC
rnacentral:rRNA from 1 species